rnacentral:misc_RNA from 1 species
GAUGAAGAACGUAGCGAAAUGCGAUACGUAAUGUGAAUUGCAGAAUUCAAUGAAUCAUCGAGUCUUUGAACGCACAUUGCGCCCCCUGGUAUUCCGGGGGGCAUGCCUGUCCGAGCGUCAUUGCUGCCCUCAAGCACGGCUUGUGUGUUGGGCCUCCGUCCUCCUCCCGGGGGACGGGCCCGAAAGGCAGCGGCGGCACCGCGUCCGGUCCUCGAGCGUAUGGGGCUUCGUCACCCGCUCUUGUAGGCCCGGCCGGCGCUUGCCGACACAUCAAUCUUUUUUCCAGGUUGACCUCGGAUCAGGUAGGGAUACCCGCUGAACUUAAGCAUAUCAAUAAGCGGAGGA